rnacentral:rRNA from 1 species
AUGAACGCUGGCGGCGUGCCUAAUACAUGCAAGUCGAGCGAACAGACGAGGAGCUUGCUCCUCUGACGUUAGCGGCGGACGGGUGAGUAACACGUGGAUAACCUACCUAUAAGACUGGGAUAACUUCGGGAAACCGGAGCUAAUACCGGAUAAUAUAUUGAACCGCAUGGUUCAAUAGUGAAAGACGGUUUUGCUGUCACUUAUAGAUGGAUCCGCGCCGCAUUAGCUAGUUGGUAAGGUAACGGCUUACCAAGGCAACGAUGCGUAGCCGACCUGAGAGGGUGGUCGGCGACACUGGAAGUGAGACUACGCCCAGACUCCUACGAGAGGCAGCAGUAGAGAAUCAGACGCAUUAGGGGAAAACGUGACGGAACGACGCCGCGUCAGUGCUGAAGGUGUUCGGAUAGUAAGACUCUGUUAUUAGGGAAGAACAAAUGUAUAAGGAACUAUGCACGGCUUGACGGUACCUAGUAAGAAAGCCACGGCUAACUACGUG